rnacentral:rRNA from 1 species
GACGUAGGGGGCCAGCGUUGUUCGGAAUUACUGGGUGUAAAGGGUUCGUAGGCGGUGCGGCAAGUCGGGAGUGAAAUCUCUGGGCUUAACCCAGAGGCUGCUUCCGAAACUGCUGUGCUUGAGUGUGGGAGAGGCGCGUGGAAUUGCAGGUGUAGCGGUGAAAUGCGUAGAUAUUCGGAAGAACACCAGUGGCGAAGGCGACUUACUGGACACAUAUUGACGCUGAGGUGCGAAAGCGUGGGGAGCAAACAGG